GGAUAUGAGGGCAAUCUGGCUGCAAUACCCAUUACCCCAUUGACCAUAGAAUCGUUGUGGCUGAUGUGGCUGAUGAGGUAGAUGCUCCCUUCUUCCCUCAUUGCUCUGUGCGCAUCCCUCCCAAAGCUGCACGUUUCAUCAAAGGGACUAACCUUUCCCAGUAGAGGACUAUUCUUAGGUCAAGAGUAAGCAAGUAGCAGUACUCCUCUAAUAGACCCUCCUCAAAGCUCUCAUGGUCCAAAAGGUAGAAGCAAUGCAUCUUUUUCAACCAGCAAAUGAACAUAUAGAAUUUGGUAUAAGCCAAGAAUGGCAUAU
rnacentral:snRNA from 1 species